GAUGAACGCUGGCGGCGUGCCUAAUACAUGCAAGUCGAGCGAACGGACGAGAAGCUUGCUUCUCUGAUGUUAGCGGCGGACGGGUGAGUAACACGUGGAUAACCUACCUAUAAGACUGGGAUAACUUCGGGAAACCGUAGCUAAUACCGGAUAAUAUUUUGAACCGCAUGGUUCAAAAGUGAAAGACGGUCUUGCUGUCACUUAUAGAUGGAUCCGCGCUGCAUUAGCUAGUUGGUAAGGUAACGGCUUACCAAGGCAACGAUGCAUAGCCGACCUGAGAGGGUGAUCGGCCACACGGGAACUGAGACACGGUCCAGACUCCUACGGGAGGCAGCAGUAGGGAAUCUUCCGCAAUGGGCGAAAGCCUGACGGAGCAACGCCGCGUGAGUGAUGAAGGUCUUCGGAUCGUAAAACUCUGUUAUUAGGGAAGAACAUAUGUGUAAGUACUGUGCACAUCUUGACGGUACCUAAUCAGAAAGCCACGGCUAACUACGUG
rnacentral:rRNA from 1 species